CCAAUGUUUCUUUGAUUUCUGCCUCUUGACGAGGUCCUCAUUCCUUAUCCCCCAACAACCCCUCCACUAUAUCACUAUUUCUUUCGCUCGGUGAUGCCAUACAUUUGUUCAUCUUCUUCACAAUUUAUAUCACCCUCUCCUUAUCUCAUUCGUUGAAUACCUUCCACCUUCAACCACCUACUUCCCCCACCGUCUCCACCGCAUUCUUUUCAAACCAUACUCCUCUUUAUGCCGUCGAUUUUUCUGACUCGAUCUUAGAUUGGUUGGGUGAUACAAACAACAGUGCAGUCGUGAGGCUCGGGUUAGCAUGAAUCAUCGAACCCCCACCACAAGGCCAAGUGAUAAACACAUCAGGGCUGCUCUAAUUUGAUGAAGAUUGAAAAAAAAUGGUCUAUUCUCACAAUCGAGCCCUAAAUCUAUAUGGAUUCAAGCUUAUGUUUUUAUUUUGUCAUUCUCUAAUUCACUCUCAUAUAAUGUUGUCGAUCAUUAGGGUUUAUAUCGCCUCCCUCCUGGAUUAUAGCAAGGUGGAAGUCAUAGCACUCCAUCCAAAGAUGGAUAAAGGUAAGUUACUACUUCUAAUGCAUUUUAUUUGAUAGGUUUUUCUAUAGUUUCUACUUUCUACUAUCCCUACCUAACCAUGAGUAUAGGUCUGUGCAAUGAUUUCACCAAAUUGAUAUUAUCAACAAGGGUACCUAUGUGUUUUUGGAAUUGUAUGUAUGUUAUUAGUGAAAAACUAUCAAGGAACAAAUGAAAUUUUUUUUGUUAUCAUUUUCAUAUUUUCAGAAAGUAACUUAGGUCAUGAUUGGUUGCCUUGGGGAUUUUAUUCUGAUAGUUGGAAUUUGAAUUCCUUCUGUGAUUUUGACUAUUUUACCCCUAUUGAUUAUUGUUGCUUGGUUGCCGCCCUUAUAUUUUUUUUUUGCCCUUGGUUAUUUUUUAGACUAACAUUAAAGAUGGUGGACAUGGUAGAGCUCAUUGUUGUCAUAAUUUUAGGGUAUGUUUUAAUUUGGUCCAUUUUGCCCCUUGUUUUUUCUUUGGUUUUGAAGUUAAAUAGGAGAACAUAUUGAACCAGGUCAAUCUUGAUUUUCAUAGUAAAUAGUGGUUUUGCAUAAUAAAUAAUAAGUAUGACUUCAAGUUCUGCUAAUAAGCCCAAAAUAGACUUCAAAUUCCAAAAUCACCACGUUAGAUAUAUA